AUUGAACGCUGGCGGCAGGCUUAACACAUGCAAGUCGAGCGGGGGAAGGUAGCUUGCUACCGGACCUAGCGGCGGACGGGUGAGUAAUGCUUAGGAAUCUGCCUAUUAGUGGGGGACAACAUCUCGAAAGGGAUGCUAAUACCGCAUACGUACUACGGGAGAAAGCAGGGGAUCUUCGGACCUUGCGCUAAUAGAUGAGCCUAAGUCGGAUUAGCUAGUUGGUGGGGUAAAGGCCUACCAAGGCGACGAUCUGUAGCGGGUCUGAGAGGAUGAGCCGCCACACUGGGACUGAGCAACGGCCCAGACUCGUACGGGAGGUAGGAGUGGGGAAUAUUGGACAAUGGGGGGAACCCUGAUCCAGCCAUGCCGCGUGUGUGAAGAAGGCCUUAUGGUUGUAAAGCACUUUAAGCGAGGAGGAGGCUACUUUAGUUAAUACCUAGAGAUAGUGGACGUUACUCGCAGAAUAAGCACCGGCUAACUCUGUGCCAGCAGCCGCCGUAA
rnacentral:rRNA from 1 species